CGUGUAGGCGGUCAGGUAGGUCGGUUGUGAAAACUGGAGGCUCAACCUUCAGAGGUCGACCGAAACCCCUUGGCUAGAGUCCGGGAGAGGAGAGUGGAAUUCCUGGUGUAGCGGUGAAAUGCGCAGAUAUCAGGAAGAACACCCGUGGCGAAAGCGGCUCUCUGGAACGGUACUGACGCUGAGACGCGAAAGCGUGGGGAGCGAACA
rnacentral:rRNA from 1 species